rnacentral:rRNA from 1 species
UACGAAGGGGGCUAGCGUUGCUCGGAAUCACUGGGCGUAAAGCGCACGUAGGCGGGUCUUUAAGUCAGGGGUGAAAUCCCGGAGCUCAACUCCGGAACUGCCUUUGAUACUGGAGAUCUUGAGUCCGGGAGAGGUGAGUGGAACUGCGAGUGUAGAGGUGAAAUUCGUAGAUAUUCGCAAGAACACCAGUGGCGAAGGCGGCUCACUGGCCCGGUACUGACGCUGAGGUGCGAAAGCGUGGGGAGCAAACAGG